UCUUGUUACUCCAGGGAGAGCAACACUGAUAGCCCCUGUGGUUGAGUCUGGAGAUAGUGAAAGACCCCAGAAUGGGGAGACCCUCACUCAAGUCUCGGGAUAAGCUGAUGCCCCAAUAAUUCAAGAGAGACC
rnacentral:pre_miRNA from 11 species